GACGAACGCUGGCGGCGUGCUUAACACAUGCAAGUCGAACGAGUGGCGAACGGGUGAGUAAUACGUGAGUAACCUGCCCUCUUUUUGGGAUAAGCCUUGGAAACGGGGUCCAAUACCGAAUACAGGGGGAUGGGCUCGCGGGCUAUCAGUUUGUUGGUGGGGUGAUGGACUCCCCAGCCGGUGACGGGUAGCCGGCGUGAGAGGGUGACACGGUAAAUUGGGACUGGGACACGGGCCAGAGGCCUACGGGAGGGAGGAGUGUGGUAUAUUGCACAAUGGGCGGAAGCCGGAUGCAGCGAUGCCGGGUGGGGGAUGAAGGCUUUUGGGUUGUAAACCUCUUUCGCUAUCGAACGGGUAGGUGGAGAAGAAGCACCGGCUAACUACGUGCCAGCAGCCGCGGUAAUAC
rnacentral:rRNA from 1 species